rnacentral:rRNA from 1 species
CCUACGGGUGGCAGCAGUAGGGAAUCUUCCACAAUGGACGAAAGCCUGAUCCAGCAACGCCGCGUGAGUGAAGAAGGGUUUCGGCUUGUAAAGCUCUGUUGGUAGUGAAGAAAGAUAGAGGUAGUAACUGGCCUUCAUUUGACGGUAAUUACUUAGAAAGUCACGGCUAACUACGUGCCAGCAGACGCGGUAAUACGUAGGUGGCAAGCGUUGUCCGGAUUGAUUGGGCGUAAAGCGAGUGCAGGCGGUUCAAUAAGUCUGAUGUGAAAGCCUUCGGCUCAACCGGAGAAUUGCAUCAGAAACUGUUGAACUGGAGUACAGGAGAGGUAGGUGGAACUCCAUGUGUAGCGGUGGAAUGCGUAGAUAUAAGGAAGAACACCAGUGGCGAAGGCGGCUUUCUGGACUGCAACUGACGCUGAGGCUCGAAAGCGUGGGUAGCAAACAGGAUUAGAUACCCCUGUAGUC